GACGUAGGGCGCGAGCGUUGUCCGGAUUUAUUGGGCGUAAAGAGCUCGUAGGCGGCUUGUUGCGUCAGCUGUGAAAACCCGCAGCUCAACUGUGGGCUUGCAGCUGAUACGGGCAGACUAGAGUGCGGUAGGGGAGACUGGAAUUCCUGGUGUAGCGGUGAAAUGCGCAGAUAUCAGGAGGAACACCGGUGGCGAAGGCGGGUCUCUGGGCCGUAACUGACGCUGAGGAGCGAAAGCGUGGGGAGCGAACAGG
rnacentral:rRNA from 1 species